AGGUUAAGUUAACAAGGGCGCAUGGUGAAUGCCUUGGCACUAGGAGCCGAUGAAGGACGGGACUAACACCGAUAUGCUUCGGGGAGCUGUACGUAAGCUAUGAUCCGGAGAUUUCCGAAUGGGGCAACCCAGCAGUUUUAAUCAACUGUUACCACUAGAUGAAUUCAUAGUCUAGUUGGAGGUAAACGCUGUGAACUGAAACAUCUCAUUAGCAGCAGGAAUAUAAAGAAAUUUCGAUUCCCUAAGUAGCGGCGAGCGAACGGGGAACAGCCCAAACCAAAGUGCUUGCACUUUGGGGUUGUAGGACUGAACAUUUGAGUUACCAAAGAACUUGAUAGUCGAAGGAUUUGGGAAAAUCCGCCAUAGAUGGUGAUAGCCCAGUAGAUUAAAUCAAAUUCUCUCAGUUCAGGAUCCUGAGUACGGCGGAACACGUGAAAUUCCGUCGGAAUCCGGGAGGACCAUCUCCCAAGGCUAAAUACUACCUAGUGACCGAUAGUGAACCAGUACCGUGAGGGAAAGGUGAAAAGCACCCCGGGAGGGGAGUGAAAUAGUUCCUGAAACCAUGUGCCUACAAUAAGUCAGAGCGCGUUAAUGCGUGAUGGCGUGCCUUUUGUAGAAUGAACCGGCGAGUUAUGAUCCCGUGCAAGGUUAAGACUAAAAAGUCGGAGCCGUAGCGAAAGCGAGUCUGAAAUGGGCGAUUUGAGUACGAGGUUAUAGACCCGAAACCAGGUGACCUAUCCAUGUCCAGGUUGAAGGUGCGGUAAAACGCACUGGAGGACCGAACCCGUGUAAGUUGAAAAUUGCUGGGAUGAGGUGUGGAUAGCGGUGAAAUUCCAAACGAACUUGGAGAUAGCUGGUUCUCUCCGAAAUAGCUUUAGGGCUAGCCUCGGAUUAAGGAUCAUGGAGGUAGAGCACUAUUUGGACUAGGGGCCCGUCUUGGGUUACUGAAUUCAGAUAAACUCCGAAUGCCAUUGAUUCAUGUCCGGGAGUCAGACGAUGAGUGAUAAGAUCCACCGUCGAAAGGGGAACAGCCCAGACCAUCAGUUAAGGUCCCUAAAUGUAUGCUAAGUGGAAAAGGAUGUGGAGUUGCAUAGACAACUAGGAUGUUGGCUCAGAAGCAGCCACCAUUUAAAGAGUGCGUAAUAGCUCACUAGUCGAGUGAUCCUGCGCCGAAAAUGUACCGGGGCUAAGCAUACUACCGAAACCAUGGAUGCGACCAUUAGGUCGCGUGAUAGGAGAGCGUUCUAAGGGCGGUGAAGCAAGAUCGUGAGGACUUGUGGAGCGCUUAGAAGUGAGAAUGCCGGUAUGAGUAGCGAAAGAUAGGUGAGAAUCCUAUCCACCGAAUGACUAAGGUUUCCUGGGGAAGGCUCGUCCUCCCAGGGUUAGUCGGGACCUAAGUCGAGGCCGAGAGGCGUAGACGAUGGAUAACAGGUUGAGAUUCCUGUACUAGUUAAGUGCGUUUGAGCAAUGGAGGGACGCAGGAGGCUAAGAUGUGCAUUCUGUUGGAUUAGAAUGUCCAAGCAGUAAGUCUUGUGAAGAGUCAAAUGCUUUUCACUUUAAGGACAAGCUGUGAUGGGGAGCGAAAUUUAGUAGCGAAGCGUCUGAUGUCACACUGCCGAGAAAAGCUUCUAGUGAGUACUUAACUACCCGUACCGCAAACCGACACAGGUAGUCGAGGAGAGAAUCCUAAGGUGAGCGAGUGAACUCUCGUUAAGGAACUCGGCAAAAUGACCCCGUAACUUCGGGAGAAGGGGUGCUGAUCGCAAGAUCAGCCGCAGUGAAUAGGCCCAGGCGACUGUUUAUCAAAAACACAGGUCUCUGCAAAAUCGUAAGAUGACGUAUAGGGGCUGACGCCUGCCCGGUGCUGGAAGGUUAAAAGGAUGGGUUAGCUUCGGCGAAGCUCAGAAUUGAAGCCCCAGUAAACGGCGGCCGUAACUAUAACGGUCCUAAGGUAGCGAAAUUCCUUGUCGGGUAAGUUCCGACCCGCACGAAAGGCGUAACGAUCUGGGCACUGUCUCAACGAGAGACUCGGUGAAAUUAUAUUGUCCGUGAAGAUGCGGACUACCCGCGACAGGACGGAAAGACCCCAUGGAGCUUUACUGUAGCUUGAUAUUGAGUGUUUGUACAGCUUGUACAGGAUAGGUAGGAGCCAUAGAAACCGGAACGCUAGUUUCGGUGGAGGCGUUGGUGGGAUACUACCCUCGCUGUAUGACCACUCUAACCCGCACCACUAAUCGUGGUGGGAGACAGUGUCAGGUGGGCAGUUUGACUGGGGCGGUCGCCUCCUAAAAAGUAACGGAGGCGCCCAAAGGUUCCCUCAGAAUGGUUGGAAAUCAUUCGCAGAGUGUAAAGGCACAAGGGAGCUUGACUGCGAGACAGACAGGUCGAGCAGGGACGAAAGUCGGGCUUAGUGAUCCGGUGGUACCGUAUGGAAGGGCCAUCGCUCAACGGAUAAAAGCUACCCUGGGGAUAACAGGCUUAUCUCCCCCAAGAGUCCACAUCGACGGGGAGGUUUGGCACCUCGAUGUCGGCUCAUCGCAUCCUGGGGCUGUAGUCGGUCCCAAGGGUUGGGCUGUUCGCCCAUUAAAGCGGUACGCGAGCUGGGUUCAGAACGUCGUGAGACAGUUCGGUCCCUAUCCGUCGCGGGCGUAGGAAAUUUGAGAGGACCUGUCCUUAGUACGAGAGGACCGGGAUGGACAUACCUCUGGUGUACCAGUUGUGCCGCCAGGCGCAUCGCUGGGUAGCUACGUAUGGAUGUGAUAAACGCUGAAAGCAUCUAAGUGUGAAACACACCUCGAGAUGAGAUUUCCCAUUCCUUUAUGGAAGUAAGACCCCUGAAAGAUGAUCAGGUAGAUAGGUUAGAAGUGGCAGUGCGGCGACGCAUGAAGCGGACUAAUACUAAUCGGUCGAGGACUUAACCAAG
rnacentral:rRNA from 2 species